AAUAGAACAGCUGGAUCGUAUGGUAGUUCUAUUUUUAAUUUUCUGAGGAACAUCCAUACUGUUUUCCAUAAUAACUACACUAAUUUGUAUUACUACCAACAGU
rnacentral:pre_miRNA from 1 species